AAACGACUCUCGGCAACGGAUAUCUCGGCUCACGCAUCGAUGAAGAACGUAGCAAAAUGCGAUACUUGGUGUGAAUUGCAGAAUCCCGUGAACCAUCGAGUUUUUGAACGCAAGUUGCGCCCGAAGCCAUCCGGUUGAGGGCACGCCUGCCUGGGCGUCACAC
rnacentral:rRNA from 1 species